UACGUAGGCAGCGAGCGUUGUUCGGAGUUACUGGGCGUAAAGGGUGUGUAGGCGGUUUUCUAAGUUUGGUGUGAAAUCUCCCGGCUCAACCGGGAGGGUGCGCCGAAAACUGGGAGACUAGAGUGCGGGAUGGGAGAGUAGAAUUCCUGGUGUAGCGGUGAAAUGCGUAGAUAUCGGGAGGAAUACCGGUGGUGUAGACGGCUCUCUGGACCGCCACUGACGCUGAGACACGAAAGCGUGGGGAGCGAACAGG
rnacentral:rRNA from 1 species